rnacentral:lncRNA from 1 species
AGUGGACUUAGAAAUGUGAGGAGUCCUGAAGAAGCCAUUGAGGCCAAUCUAAAUGAGAAAAAACAUCUCAAAUCACUAUCAUUGGAUUGGUCCACAUACCGCUCCAAUAGCGCAGAGGCAGAUGAACAGCUCCUCGAUAACCUUUGCCCUCAUAUCAAUCUCAAGAAAAUGCACAUCGAACAAUACCAAGGUGCUAAAUCUCCAUGCUGGAUGACAGGUCUGUCGCUCAUCAAUUUGACAUCUAUCAAACUGAUGCACUGUAAACGAUGGGAGCACCUCCCGCCUCUUGGGCAGUUUUCUUCGCUCCAACUUCUUUUCUUGUGGGGACUGCAUGCAAUAAAGCAAAUGGAUUGUUCAGUCUUUGGAAGCAGUAGUGGAUGUGCCUUUCCAUCAUUGAAGCACUUAUGGUUACGGGAUAUGCCUAACUUGGAGGAGUGGAUUGGAAUUGAUGAUAGGUGCAUUUUUCCUCAACUUCAUUCUAUGUAUAUUGCUGAUUGCCCUAAUUUGAGAGGAAUUCCUACUCUGCAUUAUGGUCUAAGAGAUUUGCAUAUUUCUAAUGUCGGAUUGACCGCUUUUCCAACAAUAAAUCAAGAUUCCGCAAACAACAAUGUAAGUGCUUUAUUUUAUAAACUUUAAAUUUCUCUCCUGAGGUUUAGCUCAUUUUCACUUGCCCUCCUGUAGUUCAAAAAAAGUAUCACUUUGCCCCCUCCCAUGGUUUAGCCGCUUAUUUUCACUUUGUCAUCCCGUGGUUCAAAAAGUUACACUUUGCCUCCUUUGGUUUAGUUUAUUUUUCACUUUGCUAUCCUAUGAUUUUUUAAACAUUUUUAAUUUGCCACGCUAUUUUAUAUAGAAUUUUUUUGCUGAAAUAAAAAUUAAUCUACAGGAGGGCGAAGUAAAACUUUUUGAACCACAAGGUGGCAAGGUGAAAAUGAGUUAAAUCACACGGUAGCAAUUUGAAGUUUACUCUUAUAUCAAAACACCAAUUCGAAUUUGCAUAGCUGUGGUUGCCGAGACUUAAAUAUCUUUUACAUCUUUCCUUUCUUGCAGCAGCAAGAACAUUUUCAGGCUCUUGAGAGGUUGGUCAUCGGACAAUGUGAGAAGCUCGAAUAUUUUCCAACAGAUUUUUUUGGGAAAUUCAAUGCCAUAAAAUCCCUGUGUGUAGAGAAGUGUCCGAAGUUGACAAAACGUGGGAUCUCAGACAUCCAAGUGCCCUCUGUACUCGGUGAUCUCACAAUUGGGUCAUGUGGCGACCUUGAGGCGCCAUUGCUGUGGUCAGCGAAUUUAACCUCUCUUACUGAGUUGAAAUUAUUCGAUUGUGCAAGGAUAGCAUCCCUUCCCCCAGCACAAGUGUGUGCACGAUGGACGAUGCUUUCCCGUCUAAUGAUAAAGAACUGCAAAGAACUGUCAUCAUUUGGCGGAAUACAAGCUCUCAUAUCCCUCCGAUAUUUAGAUAUUGAAGGGUGUGACAAGCUAAUUGAAGUUGCCCUGCUGCUGCAGCCUCCGUUCCCAAACGAUGUCGGCCGAAAAAAGAAUGCUGCAGGACUGGACUGCUUUUUGAAGAAUGGCAGACUAUCAAUUGACCACCACGCGCUCCUGCUCAUGGAGCCAUUGAGAAGUCUGACCUUCGUCAGUGUUUUCUAUUUCAAUCCCGCUUCGCAACCCACCAGCUUACCUGAGGAAUGGCUACUGCAAAAUCACGCUGCCCUCGAAAAGAUAAUCAUAUCGGGCGCAUGCUCCCUUCAGUCCCUACCCCGGAGCAUGACAAAAUUGUGCUCCCUCGAGUUUUUGGAAGUGUGGAAUGCUAACCUCAUCCAGUCACUUCCAGAUCUGCCUAAUUCCCUACAUACUCUACGCCUCAACUGCUGUCACCCUGUGUUGAAGGAGCGAUGCCAAGAGAAUAUAGGCCUUGAUUGGCCCAAGAUUGCCAACAUCCGUUAUCUGAGGAUUGCAUAGCAUUAUUUGCAGAUCGUGAUGAUGAUGCAUAUUAAUUGUAAGUACACUCUACCGCCCUUCAUCUCGUAACCCUUUGUUGUAAAUAAUGCAAUUCAUUUUGGUCUUAAUUAAUGAACUACAUACAUCUCAUUCAGUCUUAACAAAGUUAUCUCAUUUCUUACGGGAUUAAUUGCUCACCUUUUUUCAGAUAAUGCAAGAGUAGCCAGGUUCCUUUUUAAUUAGCAUCCUCAAUGGAAUUUUUACAUUUUGUACUCUCAUUUUAUGAUUUGGAUACAUAAAAAGGGGAAUAAAGCACUAAUUGCCUCCUAUAAUACAUUGUGCUCGCAGGACGGAUUGGUCUUAUAUAUAAAACAAACAAUGUAAUGAAUAUAACAUAUGUUAAUUGCUAGCAUGUCAAUUGCUUUCUAAAGUUAAAUAUGACUAAUUAUGCAGUAAUUUCUCUCUAGGAGUGCAAAUAAGACUAAAGUCUCGCUGAUGAGUUAGAACAAAAGAGAAGCAUGACAAAAGCUUUUUAAGUUUGUUAAAUUUCUUGUUGCAGGGGUGAUGAUGCAUAUUGUACGUACAUUGUUAGAUGUGACUUGAAAUUGAUAAUCGACUUCAGUUCGGGGUUUCGACUUGCCGGCAGUUUCGCGGUGCGGCCAAAUUGGAAAAUAAAGUUGUGAAGGAAAAAUGAAUAUCUGUGGUGGAUAGCAGAGGGCUCGGGCCAACCCGCGGUACGGAUCGGAUCCGAAACCGUUAAGAGUUUCCUUUUCAUUUUUGCCCUAAAGGCGAUAGAUCAUGGUCGGUUGUAUCUUGAACAUUGUAUUUCCCUUUUUCGACAGUGAAGUUCUCUCCUCCCUCGCCCGUGGUUUUUCCCUGCAAAGAGGUGUUCCAUGUAAAUCUGUGUGUUCUUCUUUUUCUGCUAGUGGUUUGUUUAUUUCGUGUUCGUCAUUUUCGUUUUCCGUUUGUGCGUUUGUCAUAACAUACACUUUACCGCCCUUCACCUCGCCCAUGCUACCCUUUGUCAUUGAUGCAAUUCAUCCUGGUCUUAAUGAACAAGUUCUCAUUCAAUCCUAACAAGUUUAUCUCAUUUGUUACAGGUUUACUUCCUUUUUUUCUGGACACUGCUCUUUUUUGGAUAAUGCAAGAGCAGCCAGGUUCAUAUUUAACUUAGCAGACUCGAAAGAAUUUAUACUUUUCACCCUUAAUUUACAGUUUGGAUACUGGUCAGUUGUUACAUCUAUCUUGCUAGGCCUGAAUAUUGAAGCAAUGGAUUAGUCAUGUAAGACAAACAAUGCAAUGAUUAUUAUAAAUAUAUGUUGCCCCAGUAAUUACUUAAUUUCUACAAUUAAACAUGACUAGCUAGUUGUCCAGUAAUUCUUUCCAGGGGAAAUUAGAGAAGCGCGACAAAGCAUUCGAGUUGUUUCAAGGAAUUAAGGAUUAGGACAUCCUUCGUCUUACUGCGUGCAUGUGUUCUUCUAUUUUCUUGGUGCAGGUUUAGAGAAAGACUCCAUGUAAUAUUGCAUUUUCUUUCUUUUUAUUUUCUAUUGCCAGAUGAGUACUUGAAAAUGUUUAAGAAAGAAAUUAUCCUCUUUUGGAGCAAAUUAAGAGGUUAAGCUUAAAUGCUUCAACUCUGUUUCCCCUCACUUUUUCUGCAUUUAUCCGAAAGAUAUUUUAAUAUUGUUUGAUUCAUGUAAAAGUAGCAAACCUCAUCGCAUGGUGAGCUUGUUUUGUUUGUGUAUUAUCUGAUGAAGUUGCUGAGCUUCUUUGAAGUAGCUUAAAAACCUAAUUUGGAAACUGCUUAUUUCAAACUAUGUUUAUUUAGCAGCAUAACAAGCAUCCAGAUUAAGCUUGUGAACUUAAUUUCUGCAGUAUAAAUUAUACAUUAAGUUUUGUUAAACUUAUUUUAAGUUUCUAGUGCAGGUUUCAUCGACAUCUGGAGUAAAUUUGGUAGGCGUGCUCCGUCGAAAAGACUCGGUCAGACUCUUUGUAAAAGGAAAAUGACGGCUACACUGGAGGCGGCAUGAACUCGCAACCAUAUUCUGCAGCUACCAUAUUUUAAUCUCUUUAUCAGAUUUUUUUUAAAAAAUUUAUUUUCCUAAUGCAUUGAAGACAGAAAAACACAUUCGGAACCGAACCAUUUCGGUAAUUGUUGCUCAUGUUCAGUUCAGUCUUCAAUCUGUAUAAGUUUUGUUUUCAUUCGGAUUUUUCGAACAAUGCAUUUCAAUGUACCUUUUCUGUCUGUACUGAGUACACUCCAUUGUGCAGCUCCUUAUUUCCCCCCCUUUUUUUUAUUUACAUUCUCUUAACUUCUUUUUUUUUUCCGAGUUAUUUUAGUUUGUUCAAGUGAAAACUUUGUUAAGUUUCAUGGUUCUAUUAACUGUCGGUUGAUUCAGUUUAUUUGCUAAAAGCUGAUUAAAACCAUUGAAGUAUGGAAAAUGCUUCUUGUACACCCCAAAAUGGGGUGUACAUCUUACACCUACAAUUCUAGAGUUGAUAAAAAUUGAAUUGGUUUUUAGUAAAAUUUUAAAAAAUUGAUGUGACAAGAAUGACUUUAGGAUAGAGUGAGUGUAAAAUGUACACCCCCCUUUUAGAAUGUAUCUGUAGCAUUGCUCUUAAAGUAUUAGUUUUUUUAAAUAAUUCAAUGCUUUUUGAAAGUAAUUUUUAGUAGUUCUACGCGAAAGCAAACUGUAUGCACCGCCCAUAUAUAUGAUCCCAAAAGUUUGAUCUCAAAUAUCUAAAAAGCAUAUAUUGGAAAAAUUAUGAAUUUUGAAAAGGGUAAACUUCAAAUUGGCCACUUGCCGUUUUAGCUUUUUUUUUAUUUUGCCAUUUCAUUUCAUGGUACAAAGUGUUGCAUUUUACUGUUAUGUGGUUUACCACAUAUUUCACUUUGUCAUCAUUUAAUUAUUUUAAAAAUUUUUUACUUUGCUACUUAAUUGGAUAUAGAAUUUUUAAUAAAUAAAAAUUAAAUCAUCUGUGAUUAACCGAACGGGGGACAUCCCAACCCGCUGGAAUCGCAAUAGAUAUAUACUGUCGGGAACUACUAGAACACUAUUCGACCUCUGUUUUACUGCAGCAUGUUGGGCUCUUUGGAAAGAGCGAAAUUCGAGGAUCUUUCGCAAUCGACGAGUCACGCACGAAGAAAUGGGAAAAUCCAUUAUGGCUGAAGUACAGUUCUGGAGAUCCACCUGGGGGGGAUGAUUGAGUUUGGAUUGUGGGUUCAACUUAUGUAAUUCAUUUUUCUGUAUGUGCUGAUUUUACUCUUUGUUCCACUGUACUCCAAAAAUAGGGUAAAUCCCUGUUUAAUCAAAAAAAAAAAUUAAAUCAUCGCAGUAGAGCAAAGUGUAAUUUUUUAAACUAUAGAAUGACAAAGCAAAAAUGUGCUGUACUUCAAGGGGGCAAUUUGAAGUUACCAAAACCAACCCUCCUGUGUCGAGUAGUCUAGAGAAUUAAUGGUAAAAAAAAAAAGAGAAAAUUCUUUUUCAAUUUAUAAGAAAUCGGUGUCAAUUUUUUUUUUUUUUUUUUUUUUUUUUUUUUUUUUUCUGUACAUCGGCCAAUUAAAUACAAACGGUGCAGCCAAUAAUUAAUUCCCUUAUGCAAUUACUUCUACAUUAAUAUGAUUUCAAUGAGUAUCUUUUUAAAAUCCAAGCCCAAUUAAACUAACGUGAUGACUAUAUAUUAAAAAAAAUUAAUACAAUAUUUUGAAAAAAACAAAAAGAAAGCUUAUUACUGUAACAUCAAGUAAAAUCAAAAAUCAAUAAUUGUCUAUAAUUCACCCAUAAAGUACUAGUUAAAUUUUAGACUAAAAUAUAGAAAAUUUUUCUGUAAAUAUAUAUCAUGUCAUUUUCUUCUUCUAUUUUGAAAAAAUCUGCAUUAUUUUUCUCUCUGAAUUUUAAGUUUAUGCACUUGGGCCCCAUUGUUACUUGUUAGGUUUCGUCACUGGUCCAUCUAUUUCUUAUAAUUUAUAAUUGAAAAUACCGAAUAGAUACUUAAAAGUACUGAAAAUAUAUUAAAAAAUUAUUUUUUCCCUCCAGAAUGAGUAAGAAUAGUUUUGUCAUUUCACCCACUCCGUUAAUGUUAUAAUUCUCUGAAGACAUAUUUAAAAUUUUAAAAGAAAAAAAUAUACAAUUUUAAAAAAUAGAAAAAAUAUCUUAAUCUUAAUUUUAGUCUAAAUUUUAAUCUUAAGACCUCUAUCACGGAAGUAGCUGAUGUAAUUAUAUGCAAACAAUAAUUUCUCCCUCAGAGAGGGUUUGGAAUAGGGAUGUCAAUGGGUAUGGAUACCCGAAAUUUAUCCGAACCCGAACCCGAAUGAAACGGAUAUAUCCGAUGGAUAUGGAUAUGGAUUCGGAUAUGGAUAUCAAAAAUAGAAACCCGACAGAUAUGGAUUCGGAUAUGGAUUUUGACUGUACCCGACCCGAACCCGAACCCGACCCGAAUCCAACCCGAACCCGAAUUAUUUUGUAUUAUAUAUAAUAUAUAUACAAAUUUGAUGUUAUAUUUGAAUUUAUAUUUUAAAAAUUUAGAUUUAAUAUAAUAUAUUUUGAAAUAUUGAAAAAAAAAAAUUGUUUCGGGUUCAAAUUUUCAGGUUCGGGUUCGGGUUCAGGUUCAGGUUUCGGUCGGGUUCGGAUUUGGAUAUAGAUUUUUAAAAUUCGUCGGGUUCGGGUUCGGGUUCGGAUCUCGGGUUUGGAGUCGGAGUCGGAUUCGGGUUCGGAUUUUUAAAAAUCCAUCCCGAAUCCGACCCGUUGACAUAUCUAGUUUGGAAGUUGGAGAGGACGGAUCAAUUCCUCUGCCGACAAUAAUUGAGUUUGGUUGAUUACGACUGAAGGUAGACAAAUUUCCUGCAUAUUGACUUGUAAGUCUUCUCUGCGAAACUCUUCUUUCAUUUCCUCCCCUCUCCCAAAAAGCACUCAAGAAAUUUCUCUUCGCCAUUUUUUUUUUUUUUUGUUAUGUACUAAAUACCUGUUAAAGAUUGUGAAACAAUCCCUUGGUUUUAAAAACUUAAAUUGCUACGGAAUGAUAUUCUAUUUUAAUAAUUAUAUUCAAUACUCCUUUUUGUUACUAGACUCCAAUCCCUUUUUAUAGGCACCUCUCAAAACUGAAGUUACUAAUUAUGCAUUCAAAUUAGUCGUAUAUUUCGUAAGCACCACAAAACCAUAUAUAUAUAUAUAUAUAUAUAUAUAUAUAUAUAAAGUUGGACUGGGCUACUAUUAGUAGCAAAAUUUCAUUGUUGCUACCAGUUUUUUAGCCUUUGGAUCAACUCUUUCAUUAUUUCUAACCAUUGGAUUAAAUAUUAUAACCCAGUAGGGACCACUCAACCCUAGGGGGACUACUCAACUCUAACCGACUAAUAUCAUCCCGACCCUACAAUUUUUCAUCCAAGGGUUAAAAACUUGAUAGCAAAAAGAGCGUUUUACUAUUAAUAGUAUUCCAGCCUAAUUAUAUAUAUAUAUAUUGUCACGCCCCGGAUUACACGUUCCCCGGGCACGCCGACAAAUCCGCCGUAUACAAAGAAAUUUUCCCUGUAUACGAAGCGAUAGCUGUACCUGUAAAUCAAACACUACUACGAACAGUAGUAGAGAGCUGCUAGAGAAAACUGAAGCUAAAUAAAACAGAGUUUCAUAUACAUAGUUCAGAUCCAAAAUACAGAGCUACUCGCACUGGCGAGUUAAGUCAACUAUGUACAUAAACUCGAAACAAAACAUCUACCUGCAGUAGGGCACCUCUAGCUCAGCACGUCGGGUAGGGCUCUAACUCGCGACGCCCUUGCCUCGAUCCUGGUCCGCAGACGGUGCAGCAGCCGGAACCUGUGGCUCUGCAAAAACAUAGGUAACAACUGGGCGUGAGAACUACUGUAAAAACAAGUAGUCCUCAGUGGGUACCGCCCAAAACAACAUCGGUCACCCACUAAGUCUACAGAAGGGAGCAAGGAUAGAAGGAAAGCAGGAAGCAUACUCUACCGCUAUCAUCCACUACACUAUCAUGCUCUACACUAACCAACUGUAGGAAAUGUCAAAUCUGACCCAAUCCAAAUCGGGACUGUAAGCAUACCCGUCCCCGGGACUGUGAAUACACCCGUCCCUGCCCCGUUGCGACUAUCGGGCUCUAUCCACUCUAACUGGUCCGUGGAGAGCAAGUCCAACUGGCAUGAGCGACACCAACGCAAAAGCACAAGCCUGACUCCGGAGUGGCACUCGUGGGCGCUACCCAACCGAGUAUGCAGCGUAUCUCUGUCGAGCUCAAUCAGGCUCCAACUAGCCAAAGUCAAGUAAUCGACUCAAACUGGUCUAACAACCAACAGGUAACGUGCCCUCGGCACAAUCUGACGCCAAAAAGGCGAUACGGGUCCACCGUCAACUCUGACGGCACCCAACAGUCCGAAACGACCUGAACGACCCUGUAAAAAUCCACUCGGCGAACCAGCACGAGUGUAAAUACAUUCUAAACUACCUGGAGUACUCGUCUCGAAGAAACUGCGACAGUACAAUUUUCUAACGGCUCCUAGAGCUAAAUCAGGUAGUUAAAACUGGUGACAGGUCCAAAUCGCAGGUUUUCUCCUAAUUCAAUUUCCAAGUCCAACAUGUAUAAUUUAAAUAAUUAUAAAACAUGCUCAAAAUUCAGUUCUCACAUUCAAGCACAUAACCCAUGAAUUUGAGCUAAACUAGAUUACCAAAAUUCAGAUCUAUACAUGUCGACGAUUAUGAACUUAGGAGUCGAAACCGAUGUAACCCACCUCGCUCGCUAAUCCCUGGCAGCACGGAACACCCUCGGCUGCAACACCACCUGCUGGAUUGACCAAAAAUGCCCGAGUCUCGAAAUCGAGCGAACUCCAAACUAAAAACGCCAAAAUUCCUCAAUUCAGUCCAAAAUCCACAGCAGCUGAGUAGAAACGGGAUUCGACCGAGCUAACCUUCACCAAAAUUCACAAGUAAGGGCUUCGUGGAUUCCUCUCGCAGUCCCGAAUCCAACGAACCAAGUCUCGUCGCAAUCCGAUGCUCCUACGUCGAGAACGAGCUGAAAUACUAACAGUCGACGGUGGAUUUCAGCAAACAACAAUUUACCGAGAAGAAAUAGAAAUACUUGCUCAAAAUCCAGGGAAGUGCUGAAUUACCCACCUCGACAGCGUCGAACCUCGGUGCGACGUCAAGAACAGUGAAGACGCUCCCUCGCCCGGCCUCCUCGCAAAGCUCCGGCAACAAGCGCGCUCGGACGGCUCGCGGCGCGACGUCGGCGACGGAAUCCCCAACCGGAUUUUCAACCAACACCUAGAGAGAGAGAGGAGAAGAAGAUGGAGCAGAGCAGAGAAAUACUCUCUCUCUCUCUGCUCGGACACCUAAAAGGAGAGGGGAGGUGAGGGAGAUACAAACGAGGUGAGAUUUUACUGUUUUAGCCCUCUACCUACUCCCUUGUACCGGUACACGGGCUCCUGUACCGGUACAAGAGCCAACCCGAGAGCAGCUAAAUCUGUGCGCGUAGCUUGUACCGGUACAGAAAACCCUUGUACCGGUACAGCAAGCAUUCCCCGCGCUGGUUGUACCGGUACAGCAUAGUCUUGUACCGGUACAGCAAGCAGGAAAAUCUGCUAUUUUGCAGAUUCCUUCGCUGAAUGCUGCCCUCGCGUCGCACGGAGUCCGUUUUGCGUCUAUUUGACGCCAACGCGACUCGGACUUGUCCCGACACUCUCCAGAGCUGUCGACAAGCCCCCACAGCCAGACACCAGGGAUCUCACAUAUAUAUAUAUAUAUAUAUAUAUAGAGUCCGGCUACUAUGCUAUUAAUAGCACGAAACACUUGGUGCUACCAAGUUUUUCGCCGUUAGAUCUACCCUUUUGAUCAUUUUCAUCCGUUAGAUCAUACUAUUUAACCAACCACCCACUCAACCCUAGGGGACCCACAUCAUCCUAAUCGCACAUCUCUUAAUCCAAUGGCUAAAAACUUAGUAGCACCAAUGACUUGAUACUAUUAAUAGCAUAGUAGCCUAGUUCUAUAUAUAUAUAUAUAUAUAUAUAUAUAUAUAUAGAGAGAGAGAGAGAGAGAGAGAGUUCGGGUCCGGUGGUUUUAAAAAUAUCAAGCACUUAAUGCUCGUAAGCUGUUUACCGUUAGAUCUAUCUUUUGAUUAAUUUAGCCCGUAAAUUAUAUUAUCCGACCAACCACUCACUCAAACCUAUAAGACCGCUAUUAUCCUAAUGCUACAAAUCUUCAUCCAAAGGCCAAUCAAUUCCUCUGUCGGCAAUAAUUGAGUUUGGUUGAUUACGACUGAAGGUAGACAAAUUUUCUGGGUAUUGACUUGUGAGUCUUCUCUACGAAACUCUUCUUUCAUUUCCUCCCCUCUCCAAGAAGUAUUCAAGAAAUUACUCUUCGCCAAUUUUUUUUUUGUUAUGUACUAAAUACUUGUUAAAGAUUGUGAAACUUAUUUUUAAAGUUUAAAUUGUUACAGAAUGGUGUUCCUUUUAAUAAUUAUAUUCAACAUUCUUUCCCGCGGCUGAGCUUAUUAUUAUUAUUAUUAUUUUUUAAUAGGCUUGCAACGUGAAGUUGAAUUAAAUGAAUGAAAAUUAACUGAUGUAAGGAAGGGGCGCAGCGGCUUUGAGCAUGUCUCGCCAAAUAGGGCAGCAAUCCUUAGGACUCGGACAACCCAGGGAAGGAGCCAUGCGCCUAUAAUAUUUCUUACACUAGUUUUUUGGUUUGUUUCUUUUCUUUGGGUGAUCGUUCUAUCCUGUCUUGUUUAUGAUUCGGCAACCCCAUCUGAAAUAGGGUAUUCCCCUGUUUAAUCAAAAAAAAAAAAAUUUAAAUGAAUGAAAAUUACUAGACAAGGGCCCGGCGGGAUUCAAACUCUGAACCUUCUAUUCUGAUAUUAUAUUAAACAAUCUGAAAUGAUCAUUAUACUCUAAAAACUUAAGCUAUCGGAAAAUAGUGUUAUGUUUGGGCUCAAGGCUUUUUACGAGGUUCGAGGUGUGGAUUUGAUUUAAAUAGGGAAAAAAAAAAAUAAACGCAUGUUUGGUAGUCGAAAUAAAGGAUUACUACUUAUUCUGCGUAAGAAUUUUCUAGUGUAAUUGUAAAAAAAGAAUUUGAUUUUUUCUCCUUGAAAUAUCCUAAUAUUCGUGAUUUGGAUAGUAUAAUCUAUAUUUCACCUACGAGGUGAUUUAUUUAUUCGAGAAACAACUUGAAUGCUAAGUGUACGUAAUAUCUAAUUUAGACGUUUGAUCACACUUUUCAUCCACCAAAUAUAUAAACUUCUCAAAUAUAUAACGAAAAUAUAUCGAACAAAACAUUCAUGUAUCCAGACAUGACCAAAUAGAACAAAGGUGUAAAAGGAACUAGAAGAAAAGUGUGCGGAGAAAUUGUUCUAUAUUUUCCAAUAAGACCGCAAAAUUUAUAUAUGAUAAUUUUUUACAAAUAAAAAUCAAAUAUUUUUUCAUCACAUAUUCUUGCCGUGGUAUCACUCAAUUUCAGUGAAGUCUAAAAUAUCUACAAAGGUGCGGUGGAUAACAAAGAAAUAUUUAAACAUGCAUGUCUUUCAAAACUUUGCUACUUUAUUUGUGCAGCUUGCAUUAUAUUUCCUCCCCUCUUCUAAGAAGCAUACAAGAAAUUACUCUUUUUGGAUCUUUCUUUUGACUCCUGCUAUUAUUGCUAGCUACUCGACGGUACAAAGCAAUUCAAAUUAGAUAAAAUUUAAAUAAAAAAUUAUAUUUAUCAUCAGGAGCAAUAUUAGUUCUUCUAAUUUAAACUUUAAGUCAUUUAUUAUUAUUUUUUUCAUUUAUUUUGAGACUACUCAGUCACUAGACAAAUAAAGUCAAAAAAUUAUAAAAUUUGAUUUCUAGAUAAUUUCAAUAAGAGAUAACUUCAAAAAACCCCCCCUGUGGUUUUGCAUUUUCUCACUUUAGUACCAUGUGGUUUAAAGUGUAUCAAUUUGUCCCCCUGUAGUUUUAUUAUCAAUUUUAUUAUUAUUUUUUCUUAAAUCAGUGACAAAGUUAAAAAUUAAAGGAUACUAAAGUAAAUAUUCGAUAAAUCUAUGUGGGUAUCUGAAGUAUUUUUGUAUAUAGUUUAACGAAAUAUUAAGAAAAAAGCUGUCGAAAAGAUAAAAACAAAACCACAAGGGGGCAAAAAAAAAUUUAAAAGCAUGUAGGUCUCUGUGCUUUCAAAAGCAUAAUAGCCUUGCUCGAUAUAAUAAAACUCUUUGAGGAAAGAAACAUUACAAUAUAACAAAUAAAAAUAAUACUAAAAUACAUUGCAGUAGAGUGCAAUUAAGCCUUGUUUUUACUAAAAUACAGUGCAGUACAGUACAGUAGAGUGGUGAUCUUUGGCACUUCUUUUCUGCAAGUUCCUAAUUAAAGCAUUCCCUUUUCUUCUUUUUUUUUGGAUUCCUUGUUCUCUGUUUUUUUGUUUGGAUGUGAAGGUUUCCAAAUGGUUGAUUGAUCAACUUCUUGACUAGUUUUAUAGAGCGAGUCUUCCAAGCAUCUUUAUUUCUUUGAAAGUAAAGUGGGCAUAUUUAUGGGGCCCACUUUACUUAAUAAAGUUUUCAACUAUUAAACGUUAUCAAGAAUAUCCCACAGCAAUUUGCCCCACCAAUAUGAUAAGAUUGAGUUGAUUUAGGGGGUGUGUGGUUGGUUUCUGAAAAAGGGUAAUUGUUUUUUUUUUUUUUUGUUUUUAAUUUCCUAAAAAGCAGCUUUUCACCUUAAUUUCUUUUCUUGGGGGAUCAAAUUAAUAAAACAGGCCAUACUCUAUUUAUUGCUUUGCCAUGCAAAAGUCUCCACGAUUCCAUUCUCAAGUUUCUCCGAAACUCAUUCCUCCUCAAUCCUUUCUUCUUUGCAAGCUGAACCUCUCUUCUCUCAUUCUCCAAUUUCUGCACUCCAGGAUCGAGUUUCAUCAAUUUGCCUGAGUAGCGGUGAAGUCGAUCAUGGCUCUAACCUUCAUAGCCGAAUCUGCGGCGCCGGCGAUCAUCGAGAAUCUUGUUAGCACAUGCUCAUCCUACCUCGUGGCGUGCCCGGCGCCCUGAGGUGUACCUGUUAUGCUUAAAGUCGGCAUAUUUUGAUUUACGGGGUGGGGUAAGUGUUUGAUUAAUUCUGAAAAAAUAUUUUUGAAAAUAAUUUCCCAGCUGAAUUUAUUAUUAUUAUUUUUUUAGCUUGUUUAGUUUCAAAAUUUUAUCCGAGAGUUGAUUUAGGGGGUGUGUGGUUUCAAAUUUUUUUAAACAAAAUAAAAAUAAAAAUUGGGGAAUCAAAUUAAACACCCACUUAAUUGGUGGGGGGCUUAAUUAAUUUUGUUGUCGAAUAAUUAAAGCAGCCAUACUCUAUUUGUUAGUGGAUGUCCUCCACGUUGGAUGUCAGCAUGCAAGAACUUAAUUAUUCCUCCUAAUUAAUCUUUCUUCGUUGCAAGCUCAACCUCUCUUAAUUUCCUCUUUCUCCAACGUUUUUCACUGCAGGAGCUUGAUCAAUUGCCCGAGUAGUGGUGAAGUAGCCAGCUAGUAGUCAAAUCGGCUAAAUUACAUGGUUACCUUCUGAACUUUUGGUGGAGUUUCACUUUACCUCCUAAACUCAUAAAAUGAACAUUUAAUAUUCUAAAUUCUAAAUAUUUUAUUCUUAUUAUUCUUUUCGUCAGUUUUUUAUUAAUAGAACUUGACGGUAAACUGAUGGAAUGGAUAACAUGAAUUAAAUAUUAAAAUUUAGAAUGUUAGAUUCCAUUUUAGGAGUUUGGAGUUAAAGUGAAUUUCCGCCAAAAGUUCUGAAGGGUAACAAUGUAAUUUAUUCUAUAUAUGUAUACACUAUUAUUUUUUAUGGAUGUUACUAAACUAUUUUUUUAUGCUAAUCUCCAUAUUACUGUUAAUAAUUCUAUUAUUUUAGACAAAAUUGAACAACUUAUUCAGGAAUAUUGGUUGAAAAAUAGGGAAAAAAAAUUGUAAAAUGAAUCUUCCUAAUUGACUCAUUGAAAGCUUUUAUCAAGUUAUUUUUAAUCCUUUUCAUUAUUUUUAUUUUUUUUGUUAUUUUUUCUGUCAAAAUGAGUUGAAUAUAAUUACUCUGUCACUUUUAUCCAGUAUUUUAUAGCAUCUUUCAUACAAAUUAUAAGUGGAGAAAUGAUUCGAUACUUUAUUAUUAAAAAAUAAAAUAGAUCUUAGCCGUUGAUUAAUAGAGGGUAAAGAUGUAAUUUUAAUAUUUAGCAAGUAAAUGGAUUACAUCAUUCGAGGUUAUUUCGGUAAUUAAACUAGACAACAUUUAAAGAAACUUUUAAUUGAUAUCCUAAAUUUAUACAUUAAUUUGCACUAAUUUAGAAAAUUGAUUGAUUAUCCUAAUUUAGGCAUUAAUUAAGCAUUAAUUUACGAAUUUAGUUUAGAAAUUUACAAAUUUAGUUUAAACAUAAAAAUUAAAAAGAUUAGGAUUACUAUUCAGAAAAAAAAAAUGGUUAGAAAUUUGAAUUCGAACCCGAUUAAUAAUCACAAUAUCAAUUUCCGAACUCGACGGAUUUCAAAAAUUCAUAUCGAAACCCAAAACUAACCAGUUUUUCGAAAUCCAAAACCAAAUCCAAACCGGAAGACGGGAACCCGAAAUAAUUUUUUUUUACCAUAUUUCAAAAUAUUUUAUAUUAUAUUUAAAAUUUUAAAAUAUAAAUUUGAAUAUAAUAUUAAGCUUUAUAUAUGAUUCGGGUUGGAUUCAAGAUGGACAUAGAAAAAAUUCAUAGUUGGUUCACAAAAUAAUUUCAUGUUCUUGUUGUCGAAUAAUUUAAAAAUUUCUUAUAUGAAAUGCCAAAUAUAAGAGGAAAGAUAGAGAGAGAAAAAAGAAAUAAAGAGAGAAUAAAAAUUUUAAUAAUAUACUAGAGAUAAAAUGACUAAAUUGCUCAUAUAUUAAAAGACAAAAAUACUCUUUUUUGAGAUACCUGGUGACCGGUAUCUCUCCUAAAAUGACCUGCUAUUGCAGGUCACAAUUUUAAGAAAAUUAAAUUUAAACCGUUGAACGGGAGUGAAUGAACAGUAACGAAAAAAAAAUAUAAAAGAAUUACUCUUAUUAGUUUAUUACUAAUAGUGUAAGCAGACUGGAAAAAAAAAAAAAGAAUAGUUGAUUUGUGCCUAAAAAAGAAAUAGUAUAAUGUAAAAAGCGAAAAAGAAAAAAUGAAAAAUACAGUAUCUUACAUUAUAAUUAAGUUAAGUAAAAAAAUUUAAGCUUUGAUUUACAAAAGAGUUUUUUUUUUUUUAAAAAAAUAGCAUACUAGCUGCUUCGUUUAUUUUAAUUAAAAAUAAAUUUAACUAAAAAUAUAAAUUAAUUGAAAUGAUUCAAAUUUGGGAACUUAGAUAUUAACAACCAAAAUCAUUAGGAAAGAGUUAAUUAAAGUUCAGAGGCUCUUUGUACAGUUUCCGGUCCCUUGUGUGAUCUAUAACCCUCUAUUAUUGGCUAUGCAGACAAUAAUUUCUCCCUCGGAGAGAGUGUGAAGUGGAGUGGGGCCGGGCAGAUUCCCUCUGUCUGGCAGUAAUUGAGUUUAAUUGGUUGGCUGUGACAGAAGGCAGACAAAUUUGACCGGUAAGUCUUCUCUGUGAAACACUUCCAUUUCAUUUCCUCCCCUCUUUCCGAGAAGCAUGCAAAGAAAUUACUCCUCCCCAGUUUUUUUUUUUUUUUUUUCUUUUCUUUUUUUGGGUAUGUCCUAGCUGUAUGCUUGUUAGAAAUUAAUUUGAAACAAACUGCUUCUCUCAAGAAGCUUAUUUGCUCGCUACUGUUACUGAAUUAAAGUGGGCAUAUUUUGAUUUAGUGUUUGAUUUCUGAAAAAAUUAUUUUUGAAAAUAAUUUUCUAGCUAAAUUUAUUAUUAUUAUUUUAUUUAGCUUGUUUUGUUUCUAAAUUUUAUCCGAAAAUUGUCUUCCCUAUUCAAAAAAUAAAAAUUAUACUUUUUUUUUUCCCGUAAAACACUGGUUUUCAAUUUUUUUUUUGAAAAAAAAUUGGGGAAUCGAAACACCCACUUAAUUAAUGGGGGGCUUUUGUUGUCAAAUAAAGCAGCCAUGUGGCAAAUAAUAAAGAAGUAUGGAAACAGAAGUAUGUAAACACCAUGUGGCAAUAAUAAUUUCUCCCUCUGUCGUCAUUUGGCAAUAAUUUCUGAAUGCUUUCACACAAGGAUUUAAGUGCCGUGGCACAUGGUCGUGCCGGAAACUUGCCGUGCCGAGCCGUACCGAUGCGUGCCGGUCAAAAAAAUUCAUGUGUGCCGAUACAUAAUAGCAUGAAAUAUUUAUUUUCUUUAGCAACAAAAUAUUCUAAUUAUUUAUUAUGUCUUUUUAUCACAUCUUUUGAAUUUUAUUGAGGAAAUUACUUACUAAUUUAAAGAAUAGAGGGUUUUGAGCUGUGCCAUUGGUACAGGGUCUGUAUCGUGCCGGUAUCUUGUUGGCACGAUACGGCACGGUAGAUACGGCCCGUGCCGAUGGGCACUUAUAACUUUGCUUUCACAUGUAAUGUCUUCUAACCAAAACUUGCACCUUGCAUUACAUUUCCUCCCCUCUUCCGAGAAGAAUGCAAGAAAGUACUACUCUUCGCGCGUGGAUCUUUCUUUGAUGCCUGCGCGCGAUUGUAUCUAUCUAUCUACUCAGCUAAUAAUUGUUUCGGCAUCUCUCUUUCCUCAUCCUCUAAUUUUCUGCAUUCUAGGACCGAGUUUUCCAUCAAUUGCCUGAGUAGUGGUGAAGCCAAUCAUGGCUCUAACUUUCAUAGCCGGAGUGGUGGCAACGGCGAUCAUCGAGAAGCUCGUUGAUACAUGCUUUUCCUACAUCAAAGCUUACCCGGGGCUACGAGGCGUGCGGGACGAGCUGGAAAGGCUGCAGCUGGCCCUUCCGCAGAUCCAGACAGUCUUGACUGCCGUAGAGGAGGCGGCGUCUAUUGCAGAGCAGAACGAGGCGCUGGAUGCUUGGUUGUGGCAGCUCAGAGAUGCUGUGGAGAACGCGGAGGACGUGCUCGACGAGCUGGAGUACUACGAGCUGAAGAAGACUAUAAAAGAUCGAGAUGACAAGGUGCGUGGCAUUCUCUAUAAAUGCAAGAAAAAGUUUGACCGUUUUGUUGAUCGUAAAUUUAGCAAUGACACACUGAAGCGGUUGAGGGAGGCCGUUAAGGGGUUAGAUAUGGUUGUUGCCGGCAUGGGGCCACUAGUUCAACUUGUUACUGGGUUAUACGGUCCUAGUGUUAAGUGUCAAAAGCUCGAGGAAAUCAAGAAUGCUCGCGAGACUAGCUCCUUGGUAAUCAAAAGUGAGGUGCUCGGACGAGACAAGGAGACGGGCCUGAUAGUCGAAUGGCUGAUCAACCCGGGAGAUGCUGAUGUUGAUGUCUCCGCUUUUACAAUUGUUGGUAUGGGUGGGCUUGGGAAGACUACCCUUGCUCAACUAAUCUAUCAAGACGAAAGGGUGCGAGAGUACUUCGACCCCAUUAUGUGGGUUUGCAUUUCUCAGGAUUUCGAUGUAACUGUGAUAACAAGAAAGAUUGUAGAAUGUGUAAGUAGUGGGAGUUUUGGCGACAAGAGUCUACAUGCGCUCCAUGAGAAUCUUAAACACAAACUAACGUCGAAGAGGUUUUUACUCAUACUGGAUGAUGUUUGGAACGAUGAUAAAAUGACGGAGUGGGAGAAAUUGGUUGCUCCUUUGAAAUUCGAACAGAGAGGAAGCAAGAUCCUGUUGACAACUCGAAUGGGUUCAGUUGCGGAUAUGGCGGCAAAAGUGCUGAAAUGCAAGCGAGAGUCAUUAAAUCUAAAUGAGUUGGAGGAGAACGACUAUAUGUUGCUUUUCAAUAAGCAUGCAUUCCUCGGUGUGAACCCUGAUGACUAUAAAAACUUGCAACCGAUUGGUGAACGUAUAGCGAAGAAACUUGGAGGAUGCCCACUGGCAAUAAAGGUCAUGGGAGGAUUGCUGAACUCCUGCAUGGACUAUAAAUAUUGGAAGAAAAUCUUGGAAGAAGACAUCAUGAAAUUACAACAUGGAAAUGACAGCAUUAUGACAAUUUUGAGAUUAAGCUACGAUCACUUACCCACAAACUUACAACUCUGCUUUAGAUAUUGUAGUUUAUUUCCACAGGAUCAUAUGUUUAAGAGGAAAAAGUUGGUCAAUAUGUGGAUUGGUUCAGAUCUGAUUCCGCAAUCUAUUUGUGGCAGGCAAAGGCCAGAGGAUAUCGGAAAUGAGUAUUUAAAUCUUCUGGCAAAAAAAUCAUUCUUUACUUGCAAAACCAGUGCUAAUGGGUUGAAAAUUACUAAAGAGUAUUUUAUGCACGAUCUGCUGCAUGACCUAGCACAAUCAGUUUCUCUAGGAGAAUGCAUCAGAGUAGGAGGUGACGUUGCAAGAAUUACUAUUCCACGGACAGUUCGACAUUUAUCUGUUGAAAUGGUCAAUUUUCUUUCCAUCAGAGAGAUCUCCAAUCUUAAGAACGUGCGCACUCUUGUCAUUUCUGUGAGAGAGGACAAUACCCAUAAUGCAGAUCAUGCACUUGAAUUUAUUGAGGUUAUAAAAGGGUUUAAAAAGUUACGCUUAUUGAUCUUAGAUGUGAUGUUUGACCCUUAUAAACUGCCCGAUGCACUUAGUAGCUUGAUACACCUCCGCUACCUAUCUCUUUCACUAUGGAAAGUUAUGAAUGAAAGUAUUGAAUAUGAUGGCUUGACCAACUUGGUCAAUUUGCGUUCAUUAGAUGUUUUCGAUGAUGUGAUACAAAAAAUUCCUUAUAUUAGCAAAUUACCCUUCAUCCACGAAUUACAAAAUUUUGUUGUCCGAGAGGAGAGUGGUUACAAAAUUGGUGAACUAGAGAACCUCAGGGACCUUCGUCACCUGUGUAUUAGGGAACUUGAAAAUGUGAGGACUUCUCAAGAAGCCAUUGAGGCCAAGUUGAAUCAGAAAAAAUAUCUCAAAUCAUUGUCAUUGCAAUGGUCCGCAGGCCGCUUCAAUAGUGCAGAGGCAGAUGAACAGCUCCUCGAUAACCUCUGCCCUCAUAUCAAUCUCAAGAAAAUGUGCAUCGAACAAUACCAAGGUGCUAAAUCUCCAAGUUGGAUGACAAAUCUGUCUCUUGUCAAUUUGACAUCCAUCAAACUGAUUGAUUGUAAAGGAUGGAAGCACCUUCCACCUCUU